GAGUCCAGGGCCUCGGCCUGUGCAGCGGGCGCGUGUGCCCUGCCCGGAGGAGGCGUUUGUGUGCUUGUGCGUGUUCAUGUGCGCGCUCGUGCGUGUGCAUGUGGACUUCCUUGUGUCUCCGUAUGGGCGGAGGCCCCCCAUCUCUGCCUCAGAGUUUCUUCUAAGAGUCUCGUUGCGCCACGCCCUGAGCGACUCCCUUCACUUCCUGUAGGUCUCACCAGCUCGGCUCUCCAGCCGGAUUCGGCUGCCUGCCCAGCAGCCGCCUUCGCUUUCGCCCGACAGGCUCCCUCCGAUUCUCAGCCUUCCGUGUCGCCAAAGCUCUCGCUGAAAUCCUCGCUCCCGUUUAAUCUCGUCCAUCUUGCCCACCGCCGCCCAGCGCUUACCCUUCCCCUCAUCUUCCCAGUUCUAAGCACACUCACUGGACCUUGCCCACUGGGCUCUUCUCUCCUGCCCCACAAGCCCAGAUGAGAGGAUUCUCACCCCUUCCUAUUCUGAUUUCCUGAACUUUCAUGACUCACCCUUUCCAACCUUAGCACCGUCCUGCUCUGCUGCUCUGUUUGUGCGUAACUAUUGGCCUGCAUGUUCCCAUCUGGCCAAAGAAACCAGCAAUUCUCAACCCCUACUGCAUAUGAGAAGUCCCAGAGGAGCCGCCAAAUUAAAAAAUAAAUAAAUAGAUAGAUAAUAAAAAGAGAGAGAUGGACUCCAGAACAGUUUAAUCAGAAUCUCAGGGGGUGCAAACCAACUGGGCAUUGGGGUUUUUACAAAGCUACCCAGGUGGCUCCUGACGUGCAGCCAGGUUGAGAAGCACUGCAUGGAGGAACAUGAUUUUAUGAAUAAAGGAAGUCUGACUCACAGCUGGCACCGUCAUUGUCCUCAGGCCACCUGCCC
rnacentral:lncRNA from 10 species